AUUUGACUGUGUGGUUUCCUUGAUGGUGUUAUAGAAGAAUUAAUGAAGUUUGGUUUGUAUUGUCCUAGCUGUUCAGGAUUCUUUUUUUAUAUGUUUAUGGUAAUAUAUACCUUUAGUAGCUAUUUUGUUUGCAAGAUAUGGUGAUAUUAGAUAUGCAGCUUGAUACUUUAUUUUUUCUUUUUAAUCAUGGCUCUCAGGCACACCAAUACACAUACCUUUUAAGGUCAUCCAAAAGGUGCUUAGUGUCAUUAUUUAUUUUUAAUUACUUCAUUGCUCCUGUUUUAAUUUCACCCGUUGCAUGCCCAUGUUAUUUUUUGCGAUCAUGUCCUCAUCUCUCCAUCUCAUGUUGAAUGCUUUAGGAGGAUAGUGUACUUGUGACUUGGAAUCUUUUAUUUGUAAUGCAGGGAUGCGUGAUCUGCCUAACA
rnacentral:misc_RNA from 1 species